UAUCAGUUAUCCAUCCCUGGCUACUUCACCACCUCUACCUGUGAAGUCAAAACACCUUAGUGUCACAAUUGAUUCUACAGUUUCCUUUGACUCUCACAUCAAAUACAUCACUCAAAGCCCAACAUAAUCUUGCACCCUCUUAUCUUUCAAGCCUCCUGACCCCUUACCUACCUACCCGCACCUUACGCUCCACUGAUGCCCACCUCCUAUCCACCCCACUGCACAUCUCCAUUCCAUGGGUGACAGGGCUUUUAGCGUGGCUGGCCCCAAACUCUGGAACUCCCUUCCACUCCCACAAACUCUGUGAUUAAUUAAUCUAAAUCAAUCACAUGCAUCCAUUUUUGCUAUGAACAUAUCUUUAAAACAAUUUUUGUCAGAUGAGUGAAUCAAUGAAGAGCCAAACCAUCUUUAUAAACUUUAAAGUUCAACUUCUCUCUUUUAUGAUCAUUUUCCCUUUGGCUCAGGCAUCAGUAGUUCCUGGUGUCAGAUUUUUAGUAUGAUGCAAAUGACUGAAGCUACAAAUCACUGUCAAUGGCAUGUGCAGAGUAAGCUACCCUAACACCAAGUAGGUGGCAGUCAAAGAUAAGAAAACGCAGGGCUCUAAGAAAACGAGA